rnacentral:lncRNA from 1 species
CCAGGCUAUAAAACCCCGCUUAACCCUCCUGUUCUCUCCACAGCAAACUUCCCAGAACUUGCUCCCCUCCACUUCCCCCCCAAAUCCCUCUCUGCUCCUUCUGCCAUGGAUGAUCUCACUGCUCGACCCCUGCUUGACUCUGUAGUCAUCUCUGCUACCGGUGAAAUCGAGAGGCGCAGAGAACGUUUCUCUGCCCGCUCCCUGGUAGCCUGGCAAGUUGGGGCCCUUGGGGACAAGGUUGAAAUUGGAGUGUUUGCUGAUGACAUGCGUUCUGCCUUCCACAUCAGGAGAGCUGACAUUCAGUUCACCAAAUUCCACCCCGAAGUUUUCUUCAUCACCUGCUCAAAUCAAAGUGAUCGUGAUGCCAUCCUCCGUCAGCCAAGGCUCACUGCUCCUUCUGGCAGGGUAUACCUUUUCCGCCCCUGGGAUGAAAGCCUGCAUGGCAUCCCAGCUCGCUACCGCUACCGUGCCCGGCUCUGCAUUGAGGGCGUUCCCAUGCACGGGCGAACUGAUGAAGCGGCGGCGAAGGUGAUUGGCCGCAAAUGUGCUAUCCACUAUGUGGAGGAGUACUCUAGGCGCGGCAACUACAACCGCACCUAUGACAUGUGGGUGUGGACGGGCGAGCCAAGGGCCAUUCCCCGUGGUGGCACCUUCGCCAUCACUGACGCCGAUGAGGAAGGACUGCCCACGGACAUCCCCUUGCCAGAGCUAGAUCCCCUCCGCAACCCCCUACCUUCCGAGCCAAAGAAGGGCUGGACCUACAAUGUCCUGGUCCACGUUGAUACUCUAGAAGACCUCCACACCCGCAAGGCUCGUGCUUACAAAUGGGACUAUGAAGUUCAGGAUGAUGUUAGGAUGCUGCGGGAAGAGUUGCAGCUGCUUCAAGACGUUUCAGAUGAUGAUGGCUUUUUCAAGGUUAUUGCCAAGUUCAACGUUCCACUGAAGAAUCUGUGCUUUCUUUCGGCAUCAUCCGAAAGUGAGCUGAGCUAUACAGAAAUAUGA